rnacentral:rRNA from 1 species
GACGAACGCUGGCGGCGUGCUUAACACAUGCAAGUCGAGCGGUAAGGCCCUUUCGGGGGUACACGAGCGGCGAACGGGUGAGUAACACGUGGGUGACCUGCCCUCAGCUCUGGGAUAAGCCUGGGAAACUGGGUCUAAUACUGGAUAUGACUCCACGGUGCAUGUCGUGGGGUGGAAAGCCUUGUGCGGCUGAGGAUGGGCCCGCGGCCUAUCAGCUUGUUGGUGGGGUGANGGCCUACCAAGGCGACGACGGGUAGCCGGCCUGAGAGGACGACCAGCCACACUGGGACUGAGACACGGCCCAGACUCCUACGGGAGGCAGCAGUGGGGAAUAUUGGACAAUGGGCGCAAGCCUGAUCCAGCCAUGCCGCGUGAGUGAUGAAGGCCUCGGU